UACGUAGGGUGCAAGCGUUAAUCGGAAUUACUGGGCGUAAAGCGUGCGCAGGCGGUUAUGUAAGACAGUUGUGAAAUCCCCCGGGCUCAACCUGGGGAACUGCAUCUGUGACUGCAUAGCUAGAGUACGGGUAGAGGGGGAUGGAAUUCCGCGUGUAGCAGUGAAAUGCGUAGAUAUGCGGAGGAACACCGAUGGCGAAGGCAUCCCCUGGACCUGUACUGACGCUCAUGCACGAAAG
rnacentral:rRNA from 1 species